rnacentral:rRNA from 1 species
UGGGGAAUAUUGGUCAAUGGGCGCAAGCCUGAACCAGCCACGCCGCGUGAGUGAUGAAGGCCUUCGGGUUGUAAAGCUCUGUGGGGAGGGAAGAAAACGGCAGGUAAGAAACGACCUGUCCUUGACGGUACCUCCUUAGCAAGCACCGGCUAACUCUGUGCCAGCAGCCGCGGUAAUACAGAGGGUGCGAACGUUGCUCGGAAUUACUGGGCGUAAAGCGCAUGUAGGCGGGUCGGCAAGUCAGAUGUGAAAUCCCCGGGCUCAACCCGGGAACUGCAUCUGAAACUGCUGGUCUUGAGUACUGGAGAGGGUGGCGGAAUUCCUGGUGUAGAGGUGAAAUUCGUAGAUAUCAGGAGGAACACCGGUGGCGAAGGCGGCCACCUGGACAGUAACUGACGCUGAGAUGCGAAAGCGUGGGGAGCAAACA